rnacentral:tRNA from 1 species
GAGUGUGGUGUAGUGGUUAAGAGCGGUAGAUUUGUAAUCUGGUGAACUGGGUUCAAUUCCCUGCUCCUCCA